CAGGGUUGGGGGGGUGGGGGAGGAAACAAAUAAGUGAAGGAGAUUAAGAGGUAGAAACAUCCAGUUGCAAAAUAAAAUGAGUCAUGGGUAUGAAAUGUAUGGUGUGAGGAACACAGUCAGUAACUAUAUAAUAUCGUUGUAUGGUGACACAUCAUAGUAACUAGACUUAUUGUGGCAAUCAUUCUGAAAUGUCCAGAAAUACUGAAUCACUAUGUUGUGUAACAGGAACUAACACAGUGUUGUAGGUCAAUUAUACUUCAAAAACAAAUGAACUCACAGAAAAAGAGAUCAGAUUUGUGGUUACCAUUGGCAGCAAGUAGGGCUGAGGAGGUGGUGGGGGGAGGAUUGAUUGGAUGAAGACAGUCAAAAGGCACAAAAUUCCAAUUACAAGAUAAGUAAGUACGAGGGACGUAACAUACAACACGAUAAAUAGAAUGAACACUGCUCUAUGUUAUACAUGAAAAUUGUUACAAGUAAAUCCUAAGAGCUCUCGUCACAAGAAGAAAACAUUUUUUUCUAUUUCCUAAUUCUGUAUCAGUAUAAGAUGAUGGAUGUUCACUAAACUUAUUGUGGUAACCAUUUCAUGAUGUAUGUAAGUCAAAGUACACCUUAAACUUACACAGUGCUGUAUCUUAAUUAUAUCUCAAUAAAACCAGAAAAAAAAAGGGAAAAAAAAGGAGAGAUGUUUUCAGAGCCCCUGAGGUUGGCGGGGUGGAAAGGGUCAGCCAGCCUCACCAAAGGGCUAGCCUCUCCCUCUGCUCUGGGCACCGACCUCCGAGCCUACGAGAGCUCCACCCCUGUACCCUGCUUGGUGAGGCCAGGAGGGCCCUUUUCAGCAAGACCUCAGCCUUCAGGACCCCCACCCUCUUUAAAUGUGCCAUGAGAGUGUGCCAGACUACUGCUCAGGGACAUGGACACGACGAAACUCCCGCUAAACCAGGAGAAAGUCCUAGACUUCGGGACACUCUGCCCUCAGUCCAUCUGAUAAUUAUCCAUUCCCAGCUUCUGGAACCUCAGUAUUACUACAGACUUAACAAGCUGUUAAUGGCCUUUGCCAGAAAAAAUAAAAAGAAACGCAAAGCAAUCACCAAACCCAAGCAGCUCGAGUCCUGAACACUGGUUUUAAGGCCCCAAGUUGGAAAACACGAACUGCUUCCUAAGAGGCUAUCCUGGGCCAAGCAUCACACCAAAAACUUGAGCCUCCUCCUUUCAGCAAACGUACAAGGAAGUACUGGUCUCCUUCCCAUUUUACAGAUGCAGCUGCUCAGUCUCCAAGAAUCAAGAGAGGGGGUGGGUGGUGGAGUACUCCAUCCUCUGGUGUCCCCUAGACCACCCCCAACCCCCCCAGACAUCCUGGAAGUCCAAGGCCACUGCUGAUUUCCACACCAAGAGUAUCUCUAGUGUGUGGCUGAGGAAUCUGAGAGUUUCUAACUCAGGAGAGGGAAUGCUUGGCUUUCAGACCCUGCCACCCCUCCCACAGGUUCCUGCGGAGGUCAGCUCAAGCCGGCCGCCUGGCAGGAAGGGGCCACUCUGGUAGCUUAAAAGGAGCUGGUGAAAACACAAGCUCUGGGGGAUUUGAGGAAAGAAAAGAAAACUGGAGCUGCAAUUGGUGUGGGCUUGCUUCCUUUUAGGAUUAAGGGGCCAACGAAAGACAAGGACCUCCCUAAAAAUCUUUCAACGCCACAGAUGCUGAAGCCAUCACCGAGAAGAACGCAGCAACUGGGUGUGCGGUAAAUACAACUCCAGACAGAGUGGAGGGCUGCGGGGUGUGGCAGACAACUCUUCCUCCAAAAGGGAGGCAUGCGUGCAUGAGUGGGGGCAUCACCUCACCCCCAGGGAACCGGAAACCUGUGCAGGGGCCCAGAGCAUCCCAACACCAAUAAGCAGGAGUGGGAGAGACAAGCAGGCCUCCAGGCAGGGCAGAAAAGAAGGGAAGGAACACCCUAAAACAAAAUCCUCCUGCUUUCACUGUGAAAUGACCCUCUCCUUACUCAGACUUCUGGCUUUAGACAGUCAGAUACCAGAGAAUUCCCAAGGAGGGCAGAGCACAGCAAACUCUCUGCCACAGCGCCUGCAGGACCCAGGGCCGCGUUCAAACACUCAGAAGAGCGGGAGCCAACUGUGAGAAGGUGCUGGAACAGGAAUGGCCUGCCAGACCCCUGCCUGAUGGUGCUGUGGGACCCGGGACCUGUGGUGGAGCCCCUCUGGCCAAAAGAAAGCUUAGGCAAGAGCUUGGUAUAUGAAAACGGCAAAAGCUCUGACUUGAAGGGAGUGCCGGGGCCCUGGCCGGCCUGGCUCCUCGCAGCUGGGUGGUACCACCAAGAACCACGGCUACAGAUUCACCCCCCACUGGACUGGGGGGGACGUUGGGGCCUGCUGGGGCCACCGAGGUGAAAGUGAUUCGUCCAAAGUCAGACAACUGCUCGCUGGGGGUCCCCUCAACUCUGCCAGGUGGGCUGCCCAGCUGUGGGCAGAACAGGCCGCUGGGGCCCUGGUCACGCCCUCUCCCCUCACCCCUCCGAGCCGCGAGACGUGGAAAGACUAACAGACUUGGAAAGAGGAGAGAAGGCGGGUGCACACAGAUGGCCGGGAGAUGGACAGACAGA